GCUCACUCUGCCAGCCACUGGAGAAUGGACGUAAUGGAGCCAAGGAUGGCACCAGGAAGUCACGGGGGCAGUGUUUGCUGCUGUCCAGGCUGGGGGUUGGGGCCCUGGAUUCAAAGCAUCCAUCUGAACAUAUUGUCACCCGUGCAUCCUGAGAGAGACAGCUUCAUGGAGUGGAGGUGUGUGGCCUGGAGGCCCCACGUAGGCCACCAGGCAUGUUUUCCACGAAAACCGAAACUUCUGACGGGAUUACUAACAUUGGGAGAUUUCCGUUUCUUGGACGCCAGUGGAGGGGCUGCACCAGCCUUAAAAGAAAUCAUGUGAGCCUCCACGAAUCAGCAAACAAAGGAGAAAUUAAGGUUCUGCCCACUUUUGUGGUUUUUGCUUUUCUGGAAAGUUUACGUUGUGCAUCCUUAAGUCAUUACGUAACACUGUAUUAAUAAGCAGUUGACUCAGAACUCCAGAGGGCUUCUGAGCUGGUGAAGUCCAUUCAUGUUACUAAGUCUAUUCUUCCUCCCAGAAUAAAAUCUUCCAUCUUCUCUGAGUUAGGCCUUCCUCAUCAGAACCAUUUCUUUUCUCAUUCAGCUCUCUGAGGUUUUCUACUUAUCAUCCAACUGUAGUAUCCACUGAUAAAUUACACGGAUUCACAAUCCAGCCACUUACUUUGUUUCCUCCUAACAUUUGGAAUAAGCUACUUCCUGCACCAGAGCCUCUGUCUGUCAUGCCUUUACCGGAUCUUAUUUUGGGGGGCUGACCAGUUGCCUAAACCCACAUGCACCCUCUCACCUGGGUUCUCAAGAACUUCUAUUUUGGACAUCCACCAAAAAAAAAAAAAAAAUCUUGUUAAGUAAGAUGAACACUUACCUGAUGGCAGAAGCCUGUUGUGCUCAUCAAAACUUUGAGAUAACCAGGGUUCCUGGAAUCUAAAUCUUCCUAUAUAAAAUAGCAGAGUAGCUGAUCAAAUAAGAGUCAGACAAGUAAGGGUCAACUUUGGAAUCAAUAAAUGGGGCUGGACCCAGUCAUUCACCUACAUUCAAACAGCAAAUAGGCUGGGUGUGGUGGCUCACAUCUGUAAUCCCAGCAUUUUGCGAGGCAGAGGCAGGCAGAUCACGAGGUCAGGAGUUUGAGACCAGCCCGACCAACAUGGUGAAACCCCAUCUCUACUAAAAAUACAAAAAUUAGCCAGGUGUGGUGGCCUGCUCCUGUAAUCCCAGCUACUCAGGAGGCUGAGGCAGGAGAAUCACUUGAACCCGGGAGGCAGAGGUUGCAGUGAGCCAAGAUCACACCAUUGCACUCCAGCCUGGGCAAAAGAGCGAGACUCCGUCUCAAAAAAAAAAAAAAAAAAAACAACCAGCAAAUACCUGUGAACAGCCACCUGGGCUUUGCUGAAAGGUUCUCCCAUUUCUGAUGAGGGUUUGUCUCUUUUUAAAAUUUCAUGUACCUAAAAAGUGAAUUGAUCACAAGAGAUUGUAUCCAAGGAAAGCCCCUCUCCCAGGAAUGUUAAGGGGAGAAAUAAAUUUGAGCGUAGAGCUGCGGGCUCCUGGGGAAGGAAGUGCUCAGUAAGUAUAGUACAAGGCAGCAUGACACUAAUAUGAGGCUGAGGUGACUCUGUAACCACUGGCUGACUACAGUAUCAACAUCCAUACAAAGACAGUAGCAGAUUAAAGGAGGACACACAUGGCCUGCCCUCAAGCUCAUUCACAGCCCACCAAAUCAACUCUUUGUUCAGCUUCUUGACUUUUCACAGUCUGCUGGCUUCAAGAUGUUUUCCCUGGCCUUCUUCUAAUGCCUCUUCCCUAAUCCCAGGUAAAAUUACUGAGGGGGGUUACUCAUUCGAUAUAUAUGUAAGUUAUUUGAGAAAGUUUAUUAAGGCACAGUGGCUCACGCCUGUAAUCCCAGCACUUUGGGAGGCCAAGGUGGGUGAAUCACAAGGUCAGGAGUUCAAGACCAGCCUGGCCAAGAUGGUGAAACACCGUCUCUACUAAAAAUACAAAAAUUAGCAGGGCAUGGUGGUGAGCGCCUGUAAUUCCAGCUACUUGGGAGGCUGAGCAGAGAAUUUCUUCAACCUGGGAGGUGGAGGUUGCAGCGAGCCAAGAUCGUGCCACUGCACUCCAGCCUGGGUGACUGAGCGAGACUCCAUCUCAAAAAAAAAAAAAUGCUAUCCACAAAGUUGGAUAAGUACAGAAACAUUGUCCCAGGAAAUGAAGCCAGUGAUUAGGGCAGGGGUUGGCAAGUGUUUUCUGUAAGAACCACAUAGUAAAUAUUUUCGGCUUUUACUGGCCCAUUUGGUCUUUGUUGCAACUGCUCAACUCUGCCAUCAAAAUGCAGGCAACAGCCGUGGAUAAUAUGUAGUGAAUGGGCAUGAGCAUUGUCUUAGUUAAUUUUCUGUUGCUUAAAACAGAAUGCCUAAAACUGGGUCAUUUAUAAAGAAAAGGAAU
rnacentral:lncRNA from 1 species